rnacentral:rRNA from 1 species
AGAAUGAACGCUGGCGGCAUGCCUAACACAUGCAAGUCGAACGAAGGCCCGACUUCGGUUGGGUCCUUAGUGGCGCACGGGUGCGUAACGCGUGGGAAUCUGCCCCUUGGUUCGGAAUAACAGUUGGAAACGACUGCUAAUACCGGAUGAUGACGUAAGUCCAAAGAUUUAUCGCCGAGGGAUGAGCCCGCGUAGGAUUAGGUAGUUGGUGUGGUAAAGGCGCACCAAGCCGACGAUCCUUAGCUGGUCUGAGAGGAUGAUCAGCCACACUGGGACUGAGACACGGCCCAGACUCCUACGGGAGGCAGCAGUGAGGAAUUUUCCGCAAUGGGCGAAAGCCUGACGGAGCAAUGCCGCGUGGAGGAUGAAAGCCUAUGGGUUGUAAACUCCUUUUAUCAGAGAAGAAAUAUUGACAGUAUCUGGGGAAUAAGCAUCGGCUAACUCCGUGCCAGCAGCCGC